GCUUACGGCCAUACCGCCCUGAAUGCGCCCGAUCUCGUCUGAUCUCGGCAGCUAAGCAGGGUCAGGCCUGGUUAGUACUCGGAUGGGUGACCGCCUGGGAAUACCAGGUGCUGUAAGCU
rnacentral:rRNA from 1 species